CAAGAAUAUGUUUUGAAUAAUAGUAGUGAGAAAGUGAACUUGAUAAUUCACAGAUAUGUAAAGACCUGGAGUCCCAAGAGAGCACAGCCUGUUCAGGACCUGCUGCAAGAACAGCAUGCCUAGAGAAUAAGAGAGACUAACCCAUGAAAAAACACAGGGCUAUGGAUCUAGUCUUCCUUGAAGUGCCCUGUUCACUUCAACAUUCUGGCGGGGAUUAGAAAACCUCCGGGAGUUUCCAAGAAUGCUGAUACUCACGUCACCAAUUUGCCACUGGUGAAGAGAGCAAAGUCAAAGGAAACAUGUAUCUUAGACCUUGGUCUCCAGAGGUGACCUCUGUCCACUCUGACCCUUUCUCUAUCAGAACAAUACGGUGAUAAGGACAGGUCGGGCUGAUCUAUUUCACAGAAGAAGAAACUGAAUUCAGACUGUCUAAAAUCCACAGACAAUGCAGAGAGGGACUUCCUGAUUCGGACACACUACUCCAGAUGAAAUGCCUGUGCCACUCUAAAAGCCAAGUACAGUUUCAAGACAGCUCGGUGCUGGUAGUGGGGAAGUGCCUGAGAGAACGGAAAGAACCUCAUCCAGUAAAACUGGGCUGUUGUUUUUGGAUCACAUGCUGUGAAUUGAUUUAUUGUUUGAAGCGAUGAAAAAGGUGUUCAGAGACUUGGAGGAGAGUUUCGCUCUGCGGUGAUGCCCCCGCAGUCAGGAACAGUCUUCUGAGCCAUUCAGAGCUAGGAAAUGUGGGGUUAUUUUGGUAGCUGUCAGCGGGAAUUGGCUACAGUCUGUAUGUUAAAUAAAUACAAACUGCCUAUUUAAUUAUUUAACA
rnacentral:lncRNA from 13 species